rnacentral:rRNA from 1 species
AUUGAACGCUGGCGGCAUGCCUUACACAUGCAAGUCGAACGGUAACAGGUCUUCGGAUGCUGACGAGUGGCGAACGGGUGCGUAAUACAUCGGAACGUGCCCGAUCGUGAGGGAUAACGAGGCGAAAGCUUUGCUAAUACCGCAUACGAUCUACGGAUGAAAGCGGGGGAUCUUCGGACCUCGCGCGGACGGAGCGGCCGAUGGCAGAUUAGGUAGUUGGUGGGAUAAAAGCUUACCAAGCCGACGAUCUGUAGCUGGUCUGAGAGGAUGAUCAGCCACACUGGGACUGAGACACGGCCCAGACUCCUACGGGAGGCAGCAGUGGGGAAUUUUGGACAAUGGGCGAAAGCCUGAUCCAGCCAUGCCGCGUGCAGGAUGAAGGCCUUCGGGUUGUAAACUGCUUCUGUUCGGAACGAAAAGCCUCUUUCUAAUAAAGAGGGGUCAUGACGGUACCGUAAGAAUAAGCACCGGCUAACUACGUG